GUGCUCAGUCUGCACCUGGGAUCCGAACCUGAAAACCCCAGGGCACUGAAGCAGAGCACGCGAACUUAACCACUGUAACACUCAGCCGACCCCUGAGACACAAGUAUUUUUAGUUAUCAAAAUAAAGGAUGCAGGAACAAGAGCGCUAAAUUAGAGGCAAAACCAGUCAAUGUCCUACAGCCAACAAAAUCGAACAUUUAUGGUUCUCUGUUCUAUUAUGUAGAAAUCACUUGUUGUCUAUUGGACAAAAUCCACUUGCAUUUGCUGUCAGACAAGAAUCAUUUGCUUGGCUAAAUGUUUUCCUUUAGAAUUAAAAAAAAAUAUCCCAUUCAAGAAUAAAUAGUAAGUCAAAUGAAGGUACACGUCCUUACAGAAUUAGAUAAUCCUUGGGUGGGCCUGUGAGACAAUGUCCAGCAGGACAACUGAAAAGGAUAUGCAGCCAUCUUUCUGGUCUUCUCCAAGGUUUUCUUAUCAGCCCCACUUUGUGAGGAUAAAGAAUUUACAGUGAUUGUUCUUCAUCACCAAAACCAACCAACUAACCAACCAAUCAACCCAUCCUUGUCUCCUUGUGUUUUGCUCUGAUUCAUUCAUGUAUAUUCUACUUACAUAUAUUUAAUUUAAAUUAAAUUUUAUUUAAUUUCAAUAGCCUCUAUCAGUUCAGAGAUUCAAAACAAAUUACUGCUCUUCUAUUCUAAGGUUAUGAAACCAAAACAAAGAAAUUUAUUUCCAUCAGCUUUGCCUGUUGUACCUAUAAAUGUGGGGGAAUUCUACUUUCCCAAGGUCCUCCAAAUCUGCUAAGGUUCCUGGUCCAUCAGGAAAUGGUCUUCUUUUCGUGGAACAGGUAUUAUAUAUAGUCCAAGGAAAACACAUUUCAUUUCUGCAAACCUUCUACAGCUUUCUAUAUCCAUCCAGGCUUUGUCAUUCACCCUCAGCCUUCAAAAUUUAGAACAACAGAACACAUUAGGGAAAAAACUGCUUUCUUUUUCCUCAGUAAAUAAAAAUAUCACAUAC